rnacentral:rRNA from 1 species
AGUAGUGGCGAGCGAAAAGGGAGUAGCCCAAACUUUAAAUGUGUCAAGCUGCAGAGCGUUGCAUUUAUGGNGUUGUAGGACGUUUAAGCUUAGUCUGUGAUNAGCAAAAAAGUUACAAAAUAUUUAUAUAGAAGAAUAAUCUGGAAAGAUUAACCAAAGAAGGUGAUAGUCCUGUAAUUUAAAUGUAAAUAUCUUUUUNNAAUGUUCCUGAGUAGGACGAGGCACGAGAAACCUUGUUUGAAGCUGGGGAGACCACUCUCCAAGGCUAAAUACUAAAAAGCUACCGAUAGAGAAGAGU